UACGGGGGGGGCAAGCGUUGUUCGGAAUUACUGGGCGUAAAGGGCUCGUAGGCGGCCAACUAAGUCGGACGUGAAAUCCCUCGGCUCAACCUGGGAACGGCAUCCGAUACUGGAUGGCUUGAAUUCGGGAGAGGGAUGCAGAAUUCCAGGUGUAGCGGUGAAAUGCGUAGAUAUCGUGAGGAAGACCAGUGGCGAAGGCGGGUCUCUGGACAGUUCCUGACGCUGAGGCACGAAGGUCAGGGGAGCAAACGGG
rnacentral:rRNA from 1 species